rnacentral:rRNA from 1 species
GACGAACGCUGGCGGCGUGCUUAACACAUGCAAGUCGAACGGGAUUUAGUAGACAGAAGCCUCGGCUAAAGAUUACUAAUGAGAGUGGCGAACGGGUGAGUAACGCGUGAGCAACCUGCCUAUGACAGUGGGAUAGCCUCGGGAAACCGGGAUUAAUACCGCAUAAAAUCGUAGAAACACAUGUUUCAACGGUCAAAGAUUUAUCGGUCAUAGAUGGGCUCGCGUCUGAUUAGCUAGUUGGUGAGAUAACAGCCCACCAAGGCGACGAUCAGUAGCCGGUCUGAGAGGAUGAACGGCCACAGUGGAACUGAGACACGGUCCAAAAUCCUACGGGAGGCAGCAGUGGGGAAUAUUGCACAAUGGGGGAAACCCUGAUGCAGCGACGCCGCGUGAACGAAGAAGGUAUUCGUAUCGUAAAGUUCUGUCCUAUGGGAAGAUAAUGACAGUACCAUAGAAGAAAGCUCCGGCUAAAUACGUG